rnacentral:misc_RNA from 1 species
CCUCCACCUCCACCUCCGCCUUCACCUUCGCCCCACGCCCAUGCCUACCUCUCUCUCUGUACCAUUUCUUAUCAGGUUGGUUAUAUUGAAAGAAGAGGAAGAGCUCAGUAGUCCAUAAUUGCUGCUUCCAAAGGAAGACUUGCUUCUUGUAGAACCCAUUUGAGUUGCCUUUUGAAGAAGAGUAGUGGCGGAAAUGGGUGCAGCUGGCUUUGAUUGCUUGUUUUGAUGAAUAUCGGAGUACAGAGGAGUCCAUGAAUCCACCAUAUUAGGUCCCUUCUUACCACCUUCUUCUUCCUUUAAUCCAUGCGGUAGUCCUGGUAAUGUUAAAUUACCGAAAUUGCGUAAUCUCAUUUAAUCUUUUCAGAUUGUGGGAUUUGUGGGUUGCAUUUGUGACAGAUUAUGUAACAGGGACAAGAAGAUGCAGCCCAAUUUCUGUCCCACAUCACCUUCGUUGCCCUCCCUUCAUGGGAUGCCUCCUUUCUUUUUGGUUUGCUCAAGUCGCCUCAAAGGCAGCCUAUUGCACAAGUACUCUACUAGUCCCUGUAAUGUUAUGCGAAACAAUGAUGUGAAGGAGGUUAAUGUAAUAACAAUGAAGAAUAAUAAAUCCAUUACUAGGCCAACGAAUGAGUCCACAAGUGGAGAAGAACCCUCUACUGAAUCAUACAACUGCUGCAUUUGUGACUGUUGCAAAGUUGGGAAUAUUGAUGACGCCAUGACUCUUCUAGCUCAAAUGGAGUCUCUGGGUUGUCGUCCCAAUUCCUCAUCGUACACUUUUUUGAUUGAAGCUCUAUUGAAUGUUGGCAGGACUUUGGAAGCUGAUGCUUUAUUUCAAGAGAUGUUAUGUUUCGGGUUGAAGCCAAGACUAAAAUUGUACAACAUAUUGCUUCGGGGGUUUUUGAAGAAAGGCCUCUUAGGGCUUGCAGACAGGGUUUUAAGGAUAAUGGAAGAAAUGGGUAUUUGUAGAAAUCAAGAAACUUAUGAGAUCCUUUUGGAUUGCAAUGUCAAUGCUGGGCGGUUAGGAGAUACUUGGUCCUUAAUCAAUGAAAUGAAGCGGAAGGGUUUUCAGCUUAAUUCAUUUGUCUACAGUAAGGUUAUUGGUCUUUAUAGAGAUAAUGGGAUGUGGAAGAAAGCUACAGUCAUCAUUGAAGAGAUCAGGGAGAUGGGGAUUCCACUUGACAAGCAUAUUUAUAACAGCAUUAUUGAUACCUUUGGGAAGUGUGGUAAGCUGGAUGAAGCCUUAGAAGUGUUUUCAGAUAUGCAAGAACAGGGUAUAAGGCCUGAUAUCGUGACUUGGAAUUAUUUAAUCCAUUGGCAUUGUAAAUCUGGAAAGCUCAGUAAAGCUCUUCAUUUGUUUGCUAAGAUGCAAGAAAAGGGGUUCCAUCCUGAUCCUAAGAUCUUCGUCACCAUUAUUGGUGGCUUGGCAGAGCAGGGAAAGUGGGACACUAUAAAGGAAAACUUUGAGAUUAUGAAAUCAUGGGGCCAUAAUGAAAGCUUGGUCAUUUAUGCGAUCCUUGUUGAUAUUUACGGGCAAUAUGGUAAAUUUCAGGAUGCUGAAGAGUGCAUAUCUGCUUUAACGUCAGAAGGCAUUCAACCUUCUGCUAGCAUGUUUUGCGCAUUAGCAAAUGCUUAUGCUCAGCAGGGUUUAUGUGACCAGACAGUGAAGGUGCUUCAGCUUAUGGAAGCGGAAGGAAUUGAACCAAAUCUCAUAAUGCUGAAUGUAUUGAUCAAUGCUUUUGGUGUUGCUGGGAGACAUAUAGAGGCAUUAACUAUUUAUCAACAUAUGAAAGAAAAUGGCAUUAGUCCUGAUGUGGUUACAUACAGUACACUUAUGAAGGCUUUUAUUCGAGCAAGGAAGUUUGAUAAGGUGCUCAAUAUCGUCCAGCUAUUCUGCUUCAUCUUCCUGUAUUUUAGCUACAUGCUGUACAAAAUUAAAACUUCUAAUAUUCUAUUCAUCUUUUCUUCCUUCUUAAUGUUUUGGGUCCUCCCCCACUAUGAUUUCUACAGUUGUAAUUAAAUACUUCUAGUGAGAGCUGUUAUGAUUUUAAUUCAUUUGAAAUGUUCUAGGUUCCUCAAAUAUACAAUGAAAUGGAAUCUUCUGGAUGCACUCCAGAUUGGAAGGCUAGACAGAUGUUACAGACUGCACUAAUGGUACUUGAACGGAGGCACUGAAGCCAGAUUGAUGGUGCUGAAGCUGAGGUGUUAUUUUUUUUUCCUGUCCCUGUCAAUCUUAUCAUUGGCCAUCGUAUAUAUCUUGCUUUUGCUAUGUUCAUUUUCAGUUAUAACGCCUUCACCUGGCUUUAAAUAUGUGCCCAACUGAAUUCUCUCUGUGUUUACUGAUUUGAAACUUCCUGGUGGUCUAUGAAGUGGUAGAGAGAAGCAGCCUUCUGAAUAGUCAUAUUGUUGUCAAAUAUUACAUCUAAGGUGGAAACAGAGCAUCAUGGUUGAAGCAUCCUCUGGCUCAGUAAUGUCUGCUGCAAUCAUCUAUCCCCAAAAUCCCAAUUAUAGAUUUCUGCUCCAAAAGCUUUUUGUACAUUCAAAUUUCAACUUUAGGCAAGAUGCUGAAAUCUCCUUACCUCAGUCAAAAUAAUUGUUCAUAUCUCCUGUCAAACCUUUUUUUUUUUUUUUUU